rnacentral:rRNA from 1 species
GGGCUCGCAGGCGGUUUCUUAAGUCUGAUGUGAAAGCCCCCGGCUCAACCGGGGAGGGUCAUUGGAAACUGGGAAACUUGAGUGCAGAAGAGGAGAGUGGAAUUCCACGUGUAGCGGUGAAAUGCGUAGAGAUGUGGAGGAACACCAGUGGCGAAGGCGACUCUCUGGUCUGUAACUGACGCUGAGGAGCGAAAGCGUGGGGAGCGAACAGGAUUAGAUACCCUGGUAGUCCACGCCGUAAACGAUGAGUGCUAAGUGUUAGGGGGUUUCCGCCCCUUAGUGCUGCAGCUAACGCAUUAAGCACUCCGCCUGGG